CAGUAAUGUAUUGUAGAACUGCAGAGCAAUACAACUCAGAGCAAAAUGUGCAGUCUGUAUGAAUAUCACAGAGCUUCACAAUAAAUUUCACUGUGUGCUGUGUGAGUAUAUCAUAGAGCUCCAAACUGACACAGUAAUAAUAUAAUGUGAGUAUAAUGGUUUAUAAAGGACCAAUGAGACCAUUGUGGGAACAUUUGGCUGGAGCCAUGAUGUUAAUGCAGUUUCUAUA